CCUACGGGUGGCAGCAGUGAGGAAUAUUGGUCAAUGGGCUUACGCCUGAACCAGCCAAGUCGCGUGAGGGAAGACUGUCCUAUGGGUUGUAAACCUCUUUUGUCAGGGAGCAACGCCGGCUACGUGUAGCCGGACUGAGAGUACCUGAAGAAAAAGCAUCGGCUAACUCCGUGCCAGCAGCCGCGGUAAUACGGAGGAUGCGAGCGUUAUCCGGAUUUAUUGGGUUUAAAGGGUGCGUAGACGGUGCAGCAAGUCUGAUGUGAAAGGUCGGGGCCCAACCCCGGGACUGCAUUGGAAACUGGUGAACUGGAGUACAGGAGAGGUAAGCGGAAUUCCGAGUGUAGCGGGGAAAUGCGUAGAUAGUAGGAGGAACACCAGUGGCGAGGGCGGCUUACUGGACUGUAACGGACGUGGAGGCUCGAAAGCGUGGGGAGCAAACAGGAGUAGAGACCCGUGUAGUC
rnacentral:rRNA from 1 species